rnacentral:rRNA from 1 species
AUUGAACGCUGGCGGCAGGCCUAACACAUGCAAGUCGAGCGGAUGACGGGAGCUUGCUCCUUGAUUCAGCGGCGGACGGGUGAGUAAUACCUAGGAAUCUGCCUGAUAGUGGGGGACAACGUUUCGAAAGGAACGCUAAUACCGCAUACGUCCUACGGGAGAAAGCAGGGGACCUUCGGGCCUUGCGCUAUCAGAUGAGCCUAGGUCGGAUUAGCUAGUUGGUGAGGUAAUGGCUCACCAAGGCGACGAUCCGUAACUGGUCUGAGAGGAUGCUCAGUCACGAUGGAACUGAGACACGGUCCGGACUCCUACGGGAGGCAGCAGUGGGGGAUAUUGGACGAUGGGCGAAAGCCUGAUCCAGCCAUGCCGCGUGUGUGAAGAAGGUCUUCGGAUUGUAAAGCACUUUAAGUUGGGAGGAAGGGCAGUAAGCUAAUACCUUGCUGUUUUGACGUUACCGACAGAAUAAGCACCGGCUAACUCUGUGCCAGCCGCCGCCGUAA